GCGGUCGGGUUUCAUCACUGUUAGGACGAGGUUCUCCUUUCGUUCCUGACGUAAUCGAUCUCAGCUCAGGUUAGGACGAGGUUCUCCUCCUGUUCCCAACAGGGCCGCGCGGGCACAUAAGGGCCAUCGCAAGGGUCUCUCCCCCCAUCCGGUCUAAAAGAAUCGGGCCUUCGACUUUGCUCAUGUCAGGAUGAGGUUCUCCUCCUGUUCCUGACAUGGCUGUGGGGGUGC
rnacentral:lncRNA from 1 species